rnacentral:rRNA from 1 species
AGAUUGAACGCUGGCGGAAUGCUUUACACAUGCAAGUCGAACGGCAGCACGGGACUCAGGCAACUGAGCCCUGGUGGCGAGUGGCGAACGGGUGAGUAACAUAUCGGAACGUACCCAGUCGUGGGGGAUAACUCUCCGAAAGGAGAGCUAAUACCGCAUACGUCCUGAGGGAGAAAGCGGGGGACCUAAGGGUAACUGAGGGCCUCGCGCGAUUGGAGCGGCCGAUAUCGGAUUAGCUAGUUGGUGAGGUAAAGGCUCACCAAGGCGACGAUCCGUAGCGGGUACUGAGAGGACGACCGCCACACUGGAACUGAGACACGGUCCAGACUCCUACGGGAGGCAGCGAGUGGGGUAAUUUUGGACAAGUGGGGGACAACCCCGUGACUCCGAGCCAUUCCGCCGUAGAGUGAAAGACGGCCGUUCGGUUGUAAGCUCUUUCAGCAGGAACGAAACGGUGGUAGUUA